rnacentral:rRNA from 1 species
UACGAAGGGGGGCUAGCGUUGCUCGGAAUCACUGGGCGUAAAGGGUGCGUAGGCGGGUCUUUAAGUCAGGGGUGAAAUCCUGGAGCUCAACUCCAGAACUGCCUUUGAUACUGAAGAUCUUGAGUUCGGGAGAGGUGAGUGGAACUGCGAGUGUAGAGGUGAAAUUCGUAGAUAUUCGCAAGAACACCAGUGGCGAAGGCGGCUCUCUGGGACGGUACUGACGCUGAGGCGCGGACAGCGUGGGGAGCAAACAGG